GAUACUCAGUUAAAUUUGAAUUUCAGAUAAACAAUGAAUAAUUUUUAGUGUAAUUAUGUCUGAUGCAACAUUUUGGACAUACUUAUACUAAAAAAAAAAUUCAUUAUUUACCUGAAAUUCAAAUCUAGCUGGGAGCCC
rnacentral:miRNA from 1 species